AUUGUCAGGCUUUAACAAUCGAUUGUCUGGUGUUCCAAAAUAACUGCCAGAAUAUUUAACGUCUCAGACAAUCGAUUGUUUAAGGGAACAAUCGAUUGUCUGACUGGCAGUGACCAAAAAAUAAUUUCCAGAAUAACACAUGAUUUUCAACAUGGGUUUUAAACAUAAAAACAUGUUGUUAACCAACUAAAAUCAUGCUGAAACAUACAAUGUUUUAGCAUCAAAUACAUUAAAACAUAACAAUCAUAAGAUCAUGCUAUUUCAUGGUAGAAUUUUAUAAA
rnacentral:lncRNA from 1 species